rnacentral:rRNA from 1 species
CAGUAGCCGCGGGAAUACGAAGGGUGCAAGCGUUAAUCGGAAUUACUGGGCGUAAAGCGUGCGUAGGCGGUUUGUUAAGUCUGUUGUGAAAUCCCCGGGCUCAACCUGGGAAUGGCAAUGGAUACUGGCAAGCUAGAGUGUGUCAGAGGAUGGUGGAAUUCCCGGUGUAGCGGUGAAAUGCGUAGAGAUCGGGAGGAACAUCAGUGGCGAAGGCGGCCAUCUGGGACAACACUGACGCUCAUGCACGAAAGCGUGGGGAGCAAACAGGAUUAGAUACCCCUGUAGUCCCUGUCUCUUAUAU